rnacentral:rRNA from 1 species
GAUGAACGCUGGCGGCGUGCCUAAUACAUGCAAGUCGAGCGAAUGGAUUAAGAGCUUGCUCUUAUGAAGUUAGCGGCGGACGGGUGAGUAACACGUGGGUAACCUGCCCAUAAGACUGGGAUAACUCCGGGAAACCGGGGCUAAUACCGGAUAACAUUUUGAACCGCAUGGUUCGAAAUUGAAAGGCGGCUUCGGCUGUCACUUAUGGAUGGACCCGCGUCGCAUUAGCUAGUUGGUGAGGUAACGGCUCACCAAGGCAACGAUGCGUAGCCAGCCUGAGAUGGGAAUCAGCCAACCUGGGACUGAGACACGGCCCAGACUCCUACGGGAGGCAGCAGUAGGGAAUCUUCCGAAAUGGACGAAAGUCUGACGGACCACCGCCGCGUGAGUGAUGAAGGCUUUCGGGUCGUAAAACUCUGUUGUUAGGGAAGAACAAGUGCUAGUUGAAUAAGCUGGCACCUUGACGGUACCUAACCAGAAAGCCACGGCUAACUACGUGCCAGCCGCCGCAGUAA